rnacentral:lncRNA from 1 species
CGGCCAGUACCAUCCGUCCGAGGCAAGGCUGAACCGCGGAACGGCCAUCAGUCCGUCCGUCCGUCCGUCCGUUCGACCCUCCGACCCGUGCCUACAACAUUUUGGUAUCAGAGCUGAAGUUUCCUGCGAAACUCAGUUCUUUCUGAACCUUAGCCGUCACAAUUCAAAAAAAUAUUUACUUUCCUUAUUUUUUUUCGGAUUGUUCUCCGAGUUUUCGAUUUUUCCAUUUAAAAAAAAAUAUAUUUACUUUCCUUAUUUUUAAAUUUUCGGAUUGUUCUCCAAGUUUUCAAAAAAAAAAAAAAUAUUCUCUCUUUCCUUUUCAAACCUGAUUCGAUUUUUUGUCGUAACUUUUUGCAUUUACUCUUAGCCUUGGUCGAUACUCAUAGUAUCCGACUCAAG